CCUACGGGCGGCUGCAGUCGAGAAUCAUUCACAAUGGGGGAAACCCUGAUGGUGCGACGCCGCGUGGGGGAAUGAAGGUCUUCGGAUUGUAAACCCCUGUCAUGUGGGAGCAAAUUAAAAAGAUAGUACCACAAGAGGAAGAGACGGCUAACUCCGUGCCAGCAGCCGCGGUCAUACAGAGGUCUCAAGCGUUGUUCGGAAUCACUGGGCGUAAAGCGUGCGUAGGCUGUUUCGUAAGUCGUGUGUGAAAGGCGCGGGCUCAACCCGCGAACGGCACAUGAUACUGCGAGACUAGAGUAAUGGAGGGGGAGCCGGAAUUCUCGGUGUAGCAGUGAAAUGCGUAGAGAUCGAGAGGAACACUCGUGGCGAAGGCGGGUUCCUGGACAUUAACUGACGCUGAGGCACGAAGGCCAGGGGAGCGAAAGGGAUUAGAUACCCCAGUAGUC
rnacentral:rRNA from 1 species